rnacentral:lncRNA from 1 species
UUCGAUGUUGGGAUCGUCAUUUGCCGGAUGAAGAGGAUAAAUUGAGACAUCUUCAUCCAUUGCCAUAUCUUCUUCACCGUUCAAGUUCAGAAACAGAGCGGGAUCUUCAGUUUCUUCAUUGUCGUUGGGUAUACCAUACACCAUCUCAAUCUCAAGAGCAACACGGUAGACAAGGAGGAGUUGUGGUUCGUUGAACAUUAACUCCAAAAUAUGGUGACUACACACGAUUGGAUGUCCCCCCACCAAGUCUUGCCAUAUAGUUAAAAAAAUAGGUUAUUGCUGAUACAAUUGAAUAUAUUAUUUCGGAAAAUUACAUAUUAUGGUAAAAUUAAACAUACCUCUUAUAGCUUGACGAUGUUGUUCUUCAGUUACUCCAUCUUCAAGGUAAGUGGUUUCAUCUAUUGUGAACGGUGAACGACAAUAGAACUGAUACUUGGGAACUUGUUCUGGCCCACUACUUACAUAGAGGACAGGCUCAUACAUGUAGUCACUCACAGUUGACAUAAUCUCAACAUCUUUAUCGCAUGACAAAGUGAUCGGAGGGGUUUUAGGGCCCUCAGGCUCAAGCAUCCACUCCGGGAGUUGAUAAGUCAAUGCCACCGGUGUAAGAAUUCCAAGGUCCACCAUUAUGCGAAUCCUCUCUACAACGCCUUCAAAAGAGUCGUUCCGGUUAAUUAUCAAGGAUUCUUCGUGACCAGAACCGGUUUCUUGAAAACUCCAAUCCCCGUUGGAGGAUUUACUCCAUAGGCCCAUAACAAGCCUAAACAGCCUUUCCAUCUGCAAGAUUUCAUUAACAUCAUGGUGUUAAAAGUUUUUGAAUAAAUUUCCCCGUAAAUUAAGAACAGUAUAAACAUGAAACUUAAAGCACCUUUAGAUCUAAUCAGCAGAAGUUACCGGGAGUUAUAAAGUAAACUGGAUUUUUUUUCCCUUCUUUGAUUCCACAUUUCUCUAGCUGGAACCGUGUUUAUAUAGCGAGAAACCGAUAUGAAGGUGUAGUUACUUACACAAAAACCAGCUCAGACGCAAGUUGGAUCUGCACCGGCUACCUACUACUAGACCUCAUCAUUCGGCC